ACGAACGCUGGCGGCGUGCUUAACCCAUGCCAGUCGAACGGUGAAGGGACCGGUUUUUGCUGGUUCUGGAUGAGUGGCGAACGGGUGAGUAACACGUGAGUAACCUGCCCCCUUCUUCUGGAUAACCGCAUGAAAGUGUGGCUAAUACGGGAUAUUCUGCGCCUGCUGCAUGGUGGGGGUGGGAAAGAUAUUGUUUCGGUGGGGGAUGGGCUCGCGGCCUAUCAGCUUGUUGGUGGGGUGAUGGCCUACCAAGGCGGUGACGGGUAGCCGGCCUGAGAGGGUGGACGGUCACACUGGGUCUGAGACACGGCCCAGACUCCUACGGGAGGCAGCAGUGGGGAAUAUUGCACAAUGGGCGCAAGCCUGAUGCAGCGGCGCCGCGGGAGGGAUGGAGGCCUUCGGGUUGUAAACCUCUUUCGCCAGUGAAGCAGGCCUGUCCCUUUCGUGGGUGGGUUGACGGUAGCUGGAUAAGAAGCGCCGGCUAACUACGUG
rnacentral:rRNA from 1 species